UAAAUAACACAAUAAUGUCUCUCAGCUUAGA
rnacentral:piRNA from 1 species